UACGGGGGGAGCAAGCGUUGUUCGGAUUUACUGGGCGUAAAGGGCGCGUAGGCGGCGCAACAAGUCACUUGUGAAAUCUCCGGGCUUAACUCGGAGCGGCCAAGUGAUACUGUCGUGCUAGAGUGCGGAAGGGGCUACUGGAAUUCUCGGUGUAGCGGUGAAAUGCGUAGAUAUCGAGAGGAACACCUGCGGCGAAGGCGGGUUGCUGGGCUGACACUGACGCUGAUGCGCGAAAGCCAGGGGAGCGAACGGG
rnacentral:rRNA from 1 species